ACCUAGCUGGUAAACAACAUAUCUAAGUGAGAACCAUUUUUUCAUCAAUACAAAGCGCUUAGGUAUCUGAGAAUAUUUUUCUGCCCUUUCCAACAUGAUAUGCAAUAAUUAAUUUUUUUCUUUUGUUGGAGUAGUUCUUGGUAAAGGCCACGGGCGUCACAUUAAUUCCACCUCAAGGGGGAUAAUAACAUACCUUAAAUCCCUCCAUUUAAAUUCAAUUUUUGAAAUCAAAUUAUUGUUGUAAUCUUCUCAUUAUUUCUCUCCUACUUUCUCUCUAUUCAAAUUCAAAUUCAAAUUUUAAAUUUGAAUUGUUACUAUAAAUUUCUUCUAAUUUUUCUCCUAUAACCAUUCUUGUAUAUCUUAUAUAUAUUCAAUACAAACUCAAAGAAAUCCCAACCAAUCAAAGAAGACUUUAUCCAUCGCAUUGUGUUUCUUUCAUGGUAUCAAAGCCCAUCUUGGCAUCACUGUCUUUCUUCUGCAAACCCAGCCCUUCUUCUCAUAUUAGAAAUUUCCAUCCCAACAAUGUCGGCAACAUCAUAUUCUUCACCUGAACUUAAAUCCUCUCCAGCUACAACCCUUGUAGUCUCCAAUAUCUCAAAUCUAGUCUCAAUUAAGUUUGAUGGCAGCAACUAUCUCCUUUAGAAGUCUCUCUUUGAACCAAUUUUAUGGGGACACA
rnacentral:lncRNA from 1 species